AGCACGGGUGCUUGCACCUGGUGGCGAGUGGCGAACGGGUGAGUAAUGCGUCGGAACGUACCGAGUAAUGGGGGAUAACGUAGCGAAAGUUGUGCUAAUACCGCAUACGCCCUGAGGGGGAAAGUGGGGGACCGCAAGGCCUCACGUUAUUCGAGCGGCCGACGUCUGAUUAGCUAGUUGGUGGGGUAAAGGCCUACCAAGGCGACGAUCAGUAGCGGGUCUGAGAGGAUGAUCCGCCACACUGGGACUGAGACACGGCCCAGACUCCUACGGGAGGCAGCAGUGGGGAAUUUUGGACAAUGGGGGCAACCCUGAUCCAGCCAUUCCGCGUGAGUGAAGAAGGCCUUCGGGUUGUAAAGCUCUUUCAGCUGGAACGAAACGGUACGCGCUAACAUCGUGUGCUAAUGACGGUACCGGCAGAAGAAGCACCGGCUAACUACGUGCCAGCAGCCGCGGUAAUACGUAGGGUGCGAGCGUUAAUCGGAAUUACUGGGCGUAAAGCGUGCGCAGGCGGAUUGUUAAGCAAGACGUGAAAUCCCCGGGCUUAACCUGGGAAUGGCGUUUUGAACUGGCAGUCUAGAGUGCGUCAGAGGGGGGUGGAUUCCACGUGUAGCAGUG
rnacentral:rRNA from 1 species